UUCUCUAAGUGUAGUCACCAAUGAGAUGCGACUUCUCCGGGCUUUUGUUCGCCAAAGGCAAGUAAUCGCUUUCGAAGAACCCCCCUGGCAUAGUCAUUCGCCCAGUUUGGAGUGAAUGCGAUUCAAGUGCGUUCAAUUUCCUUUGGAAGGACACAAGGGUUCAGCUGCAGGACGACCUCAUCAAUAUAAAUCACAACAAAGGGCCCUUGGCCAACUGGCUUUUGACAUUGUUUACCUCAUCAGCUCGGGGUGCUCCGAAAGCCGAAAGCCUGGAACCAGCACAUAUUUUUGACUGAUGUUCCCUGGAUUGUUGUGUGCCUUUGUUUUUUGGGCCCGAUGGAAGCUUCUGUUCCUGCUUUUUGAUGGAUGCGCUGCAGCAGCUGUUGUUGGCCAACAAUCAAGCCGGAUGGAGCGGAAUAUGACCAGUGAUGCAUUAUCUAGAUGAACACUCAAGUUCAUAUUUCCGGGCUUUAUCAACUUGCCCAGCCAAAUGGCUUUAAGGCGUAGUAUACACAAUACAAUAGAGUUCUCAAACAUGCUUUGAACUAGUUAAUUGAUGAAUUAAAGAGUUGAGUUAAGGCUACAAUU
ensembl:ncRNA lncRNA:CR46210 long non-coding RNA:CR46210